UUGAACGCUGGCGGCAUGCUUUACACAUGCAAGUCGAACGGCAGCACGGGCUUCGGCCUGGUGGCGAGUGGCGAACGGGUGAGUAAUAUAUCGGAACGUACCCAAGAGUGGGGGAUAACGUAGCGAAAGUUACGCUAAUACCGCAUACGAUCUAUGGAUGAAAGCAGGGGACCGCAAGGCCUUGUGCUCCUGGAGCGGCCGAUAUCUGAUUAGCUAGUUGGUAGGGUAAAGGCCUACCAAGGCGACGAUCAGUAGCUGGUCUGAGAGGACGACCAGCCACACUGGAACUGAGACACGGUCCAGACUCCUACGGGAGGCAGCAGUGGGGAAUUUUGGACAAUGGGCGCAAGCCUGAUCCAGCAAUGCCGCGUGAGUGAAGAAGGCCUUCGGGUUGUAAAGCUCUUUUGUCAGGGAAGAAACGGUAGAGGCUAAUAUCCUUUGCUAAUGACGGUACCUGAAGAAUAAGCACCGGCUAACUACGU
rnacentral:rRNA from 1 species